GACGAACGCUGGCGGCGUGCUUAACACAUGCAAGUCGAACGAAGAGCGAUGGAAGCUUGCUUCUAUCAAUCUUAGUGGCGAACGGGUGAGUAACGCGUAAUCAACCUGCCCUUCAGAGGGGGACAACAGUUGGAAACGACUGCUAAUACCGCAUACGAUCUAAUCUCGGCAUCGAGGAUAGAUGAAAGGUGGCCUCUACAUGUAAGCUAUCACUGAAGGAGGGGAUUGCGUCUGAUUAGCUAGUUGGAGGGGUAACGGCCCACCAAGGCGAUGAUCAGUAGCCGGUCUGAGAGGAUGAACGGCCACAUUGGGACUGAGACACGGCCCAGACUCCUACGGGAGGCAGCAGUGGGGAUCUUCCGCAAUGGACGAAAGUCUGACGGAGCAACGCCGCGUGAGUGAUGACGGCCUUCGGGUUGUAAAGCUCUGUUAAUCGGGACGAAAGGCCUUCUUGCGAAUAGUGAGAAGGAUUGACGGUACCGGAAUAGAAAGCCACGGCUAACUACGUG
rnacentral:rRNA from 1 species